AGCGAACGUUAGCGGCGCGCCUAACACAUGCAAGUCGCACGAGAAAGGGCUUCGGCCCCGGUAAAGUGGCGCACGGGUGAGUAACACUUGGGCAACCUGCCCACCCCUGGGGGAUAACCUCCCGAAAGGCGGGCUAAUACCGCGUACGAGGGUUCGACCUCGGCCGGUUCUGGAAAGCAGGCCCCGUUAUCCAAGCUGGUGGGGUUGGAUGGGCCCGCGCUCCAUCAGCUAGUUGGUGAGGUAACGGCUCACCAAGGCUACGACGGAUAGCUGGUCUGAGAGGAUGAUCAGCCACACUGGAACUGAGACACGGUCCAGACUCCUACGGGAGGCAGCAGUGGGGAAUCUUGCGCAAUGGACGAAAGUCUGACGCAGCGACGCCGCGUGGGUGACGAAGGCCUUCGGGUUGUAAAGCCCUGUGGGGUGAGACGAACAGCUGGGGUUCAAAUAGGGCCUUGGUCUGACGGUAUCACCUUAGCAAGCACCGGCUAACUCUGUGCCAGCCGCCGCCGUAAGAC
rnacentral:rRNA from 1 species